rnacentral:lncRNA from 1 species
AUUGUAGCAUUUUCAAUUUGCUCUUCGAUUUCAAUCUCUGGCUCAAGUUCAACAUGGGUCCCCUCAUUUUCAGCCUCUUCUCUAACAUCUGCAUCUUCAUUAGAAACCCCAACAUUAGUAUUUUUGGAGUUCUUUUUCCCAAAAAACUUGUGCAGUGAGCCCAUUUGCAAUUUAUCUGCUUCCAUCGAUUUCAAUUUCUUUUGCCUUUUCUGAUAACCUGAUAAUUGAUGACGCUUCAUCUUCUAAGCAGAUGAAAGUCUCUUCAGUGAUAACUCCUAAGUCCUAUCAAGAGCCAGAGCAACCCAAUAGCCGAUCCAAUAGUUUAUUG